GGGGGGGCGCAGCGACAGGUGCUGGGGCAGGUGAGGAGAGGCUAGUGGACAGGUGCUGGGACAGGUGAGGAGAGGCUAGCGGGCAGGUAAGGAGGCAGGUGAGGGGAGAGAGUGGAGUUGCAGGGACAGGUGAGGGGGAGAGAGUAGACAGGUGCAGUGACAGGUGAGGCGAGGCUAGCGGGCAGGUAAGGAGGCAGGUGAGGGGAGACAGUAGACAG